UACGUAGGGAGCAAGCGUUGUCCGGAAUCAUUGGGCGUAAAGCGCGCGUAGGCGGCCUCAUAAGUCCGUUGUGAAAGUCAAAGGCUCAACCUUUGAAAGCCGAUGGAUACUGUGAGGCUAGAGUCCGGAAGAGGCGAGUGGAAUUCCUGGUGUAGCGGUGGAAUGCGCAGAUAUCAGGAGGAACACCAAUAGCGAAGGCAGCCCGCUGGGACGGUACUGACGCUAAGGCGCGAAAGCGUGGGGAGCGAACAGG
rnacentral:rRNA from 1 species